rnacentral:misc_RNA from 1 species
GGUCAAAGCAAAAAAAUUUGCAUAGAUUGUAAGAAAUAUACACUUGGUUUAUCAUUAAUGACAAAAAAAGAACGAAAGAAAUUCAAUGAUGCCUUUGUCUAACAUCUAACUGUGGCAAAAUAGCAUUCUAUGUAGCUUGAAGUUUUGUAAUCUUUUGCUUAAAUUUAGGUCAGUCACAUUGUCAGUGGCAAAAGAAUGUUCAGCUGAAUCAUCUUCUCAACUGAAUAGAGAUAAGGACUGUUCCUGUUGAUGAUUAUUGUAAAUUCUAGUGCUGAAAUCCUUUGAUUAUUUGGCUGAAAUCCUGUCUCCUCAGUUG